rnacentral:rRNA from 1 species
CCUACGGGAGGCAGCAGUGAGGAAUAUUGGUCAAUGGGCGCGAGCCUGAACCAGCCAAGUAGGGUGAAGGAUGACUGCCCUACGGGUUGUAAACUUCUUUUAUAAAGGAAUAAAGUGAGGCACGUGUGCCUUUUUGUAUGUACUUUAUGAAUAAGGAUCGGCUAACUCCGUGCCAGCAGCCGCGGUAAUACGGAGGAUCCGAGCGUUAUCCGGAUUUAUUGGGUUUAAAGAGUUGCGUAGGUGGCGUAGUAAAUGGCUAGUGGAAUCUGGUGGCUCAACCAUUCAGACUGUUAGCUAAACUGUUAAGCUCGAGGCCGUUAGGGGUAACUGGAAUUUCUGGUGUAGGGGUGAAAUCCGUAGAUAUUAGGAGGAACACCAAUGGCGUAGGCAGGUUACUGGGACGGUUCUGACACUGAGGCACGAAAGCGUGGGGAGCAAACAGGAUUAGAUACCCCGGUAGUC